rnacentral:rRNA from 1 species
AUUGAACGCUGGCGGAAUGCUUUACACAUGCAAGUCGAACGGCAGCACGGGGGCAACCCUGGUGGCGAGUGGCGAACGGGUGAGUAAUACAUCGGAACGUGCCCAUGUCGUGGGGGAUAACGUAGCGAAAGCUACGCUAAUACCGCAUACGAUCUACGGAUGAAAGCGGGGGACCGUAAGGCCUCGCGCGAUUGGAGCGGCCGAUGGCAGAUUAGGUAGUUGGUGGGGUAAAGGCUCACCAAGCCUGCGAUCUGUAGCUGGUCUGAGAGGACGACCAGCCACACUGGGACUGAGACACGGCCCAGACUCCUACGGGAGGCAGCAGUGGGGAAUUUUGGACAAUGGGCGCAAGCCUGAUCCAGCCAUUCCGCGUGCAGGAUGAAGGCCUUCGGGUUGUAAACUGCUUUUGUACGGAACGAAAAGACUCUCUCUAAUACAGGGGGUUCAUGACGGUACCGUAAGAAUAAGCACCGGCUAACUACGUGCCAGCCGCCGCCGUAA